GUGGGGAAUAUUGGACAAUGGGCGAAAGCCUGAUCCAGCAAUGCCGCGUGAGUGAUGAAGGCCUUAGGGUUGUAAAGCUCUUUUACCAGGGAUGAUAAUGACAGUACCUGGAGAAUAAGCUCCGGCUAACUCCGUGCCAGCAGCCGCGGUAAUACGGAGGGAGCUAGCGUUGUUCGGAAUUACUGGGCGUAAAGCGCACGUAGGCGGUUACUCAAGUCAGAGGUGAAAGCCCGGGGCUCAACCCCGGAACUGCCUUUGAAACUAGGUAACUGGAAUCUUGGAGAGGUCAGUGGAAUUCCGAGUGUAGAGGUGAAAUUCGUAGAUAUUCGGAAGAACACCAGUGGCGAAGGCGACUGACUGGACAAGUAUUGACGCUGAGGUGCGAAAGCGUGGGGAGCAAACAGGAUUAGAAACCCGUGUAGUCC
rnacentral:rRNA from 1 species